rnacentral:lncRNA from 1 species
CUGCAUUUUUGGUCCAGGCAGGGAAGUACAGUACCCUAAGUUAACUCUCUGCUUUUCUGCCUAGGAGUGAUGAUGGGCACAAGGAGAGGGAGCCCAUCAUGGAUUUCACAGCUGUUACCUGCUGGUCUGCAAAUCUGACAUACUCGCACUGAGCUGCUUCCAAGCACAGCGAAUCUUGCGGAUCAGCAUCGACCAUGUCUGUGUUGGUUGUUUCACCUUUCCAGACAAAUCUCUGGACAAAGUCAGCUUGGAAGGGACAGAGUGCGUCUGCACAAAGAGUGAGAACGUCCUGUCCAAAGCCUAACUGCAGCUGCCUAGAACCACGGCUUCUUGCUUCUGCCACUGCACCUCAAAUAAAUGGAGAGCUCAUUGGAGAGGGAAUAUGUCAUUCUGAUGAAUGGACCAGCUACAGAGGAUGAAGAAAGUAACGCCUCACGUGAGCAAGGCUUUUCUAUGUGAGGACCGUACAGCUGCAUGUCCCCUCAGUAUUUCAGGUUCAUGGAUGCCCCCUUGGAGCCUUUGGAUGUGGAUCAGUGCCUCAUUCUGUGGGCUGCUACACUCACAACUAGCAAGGAGAACACUCCAAUCAAGCUCCCAGUCUAAAUAUCAGGGGAGAAGGUUUUCUAAUCUUUGGCAGGAGGCUGAGGGGUGAGAAGAGGAUUCAAUACAAAACUUAAUGGGUUUUACAUUUCACAUGUCCAGAGGGUGAAGGUACUGCCUGUCUUUGUGCCAGACUCCCCAAUCUGUUCUAUGCUCUGUAUUCUCUGCAAAUUAAGCCCACAGUCAGCCUUUAGAAAAUAAAAUAAAUGUGAAAACCA